CCAAUAGCGUAUAUUAACGUUGUUGCAGUUAAAACGCUCGUAGUUGACUUUCGGGAUCAGAUUGUCGGUCGUGCCUCGGUACGCACUGGCAUUAUUGGUUCCUACCUUCUGAAGAACCGCGAUGUCAUUAAUUUGGUGUCGCGGGGAAUCAGGACUGUUACUUUGAAAAAAUUAGAGUGUUUAAAGCAGGCGCACGCUUGAAUACAUUAGCAUGGAAUAAUGAAAUAGGACGUUUGAUUCUAUUUUGUUGGUUUCUAGGAUCGACGUAAUGAUUAAUAGGGAUAGUUGGGGGCAUUAGUAUUCAAUUGUCAGAGGUGAAAUUCUUGGAUUUAUUGAAGACUAACUACUGCGAAAGCAUUUGCCAAGGAUGUUUUCAUUAAUCAAGAACGAAAGUUAGGGGAUCGAAGACGAUCAGAUACCGUCGUAGUCUUAACCAUAAACUAUGCCGACUAGGGAUCGGAUGAUGUUGAUUUUAUAAUGACUCAUUCGGCGCCUUACG
rnacentral:rRNA from 1 species